CAGGGGCGCCGAAUGGCUGAGAUGCAAAAGCAGUCCCUUAUCACCUGAUCUAGGUAAUACUAGCGUAGGGAGUCUGUAU
rnacentral:ncRNA from 1 species